rnacentral:misc_RNA from 1 species
GAUGAAGAACGCAGCGAAAUGCGAUAAUUAAUGUGAAUUGCAGAAUUCCGUGAAUCAUCGAGUCUUUGAACACACAUUGCGCCUCACGGCAUUCCGUGAGGCAUGCCCAUCUCAGCGUUAGAAAAUAUUCUCAAAUUUUAGUUUUGUGCUAAAAUUUGGAUCAUGUCAAGGAAGCUAUUACUAUUAUUGUGAUCGCUCUUUGGAAAUUGAUAGGUCUUUGAGUUGCUACUCAUAGAACGUGAUGAAUCUUUCUUCGUUCUAUUGUAAUUCACUCUGGUAGUCCUAAAACUUGUAUGCCUGUGGCAUAUCUUGUAAUUUGACCUGAGAUUGGGUAGGGAUACCCGCUGAACUUAAGCAUAUCAAUAAGCGGAGGA